CCAUCUUAGUGGUGAUGUUAAAUGAGAUUUCUUCUACCUUUGUGAUCUCAAUAGUGGAAUAUCUCAUUGAAAAUCGGAAGUGGAACUUGGUAUUGUCUUAGUUCGUAGUUGUCGGCUUUGUGGUGUUGAAAGUACCCGUAUUAACUUACCUGGGUUUUCUUUGGUGAUCAAUACUAUCACCUUACAUCUGGUAUCAGAGCUUAGGACUUCAAUUUCUGUCAAAAGGGUUCAAAAUCGAGAGAAAUAGGCCCUAAUCUCCAAAUUGAACGAACCCAAUUCUUCCAAUUACUCCCAAACCCGACCUUAUUUGGACAAACGGAGCCCAGAUCGAUAACUAGCAGGUCGAGGCACCCCCUGUGAGAUGGCUCAUGGUGGUGACGACGGCGGCGUGCGGGAGGCCCUGCAACGUAGUUUUUUCUGUCAUUUCGUUUAUUUCAUUUUCCUGAACACUUUGAUGUGUUUGGUUUAGUGUUUCAGGUUGAGUAGGAAAAGUUGGAUGAUUU
rnacentral:lncRNA from 1 species